rnacentral:rRNA from 1 species
GAUUAAGUUAUUAAGGGCGCACGGUGGAUGCCUUGGCACUAGAAGCCGACGAAGGACGUUACUAACGACGAUAUGCUUUGGGGAGCUGUAAGUAAGCUUUGAUCCAGAGAUUUCCGAAUGGGGAAACCCAGCACGAGUUAUGUCGUGUUAUCUGCAUGUGAAUACAUAGCAUGCAAGAAGGCAGACCCGGAGAACUGAAACAUCUUAGUACCCGGAGGAAGAGAAAGAAAAAUCGAUUCCCUGAGUAGCGGCGAGCGAAACGGGAAGAGCCCAAACCAAUAAGCUUGCUUAUUGGGGUUGUAGGACACUCUGUACGGAGUUACAAAAGAAUUUGUUAGACGAAUAACCUGGAAAGGUUAAUCA